rnacentral:tRNA from 1 species
GGAGGUUGUAGCUCAGCUGGUUAGAGCGCUGGAUUGUGGUUCCAGAGGUCGCGGGUUCGAACCCCGUCUCCCUCCC